GUGCGUUUAUGAGAAGACCAUGCAAAAUCCUGAAAAAUCGACAAGGUGGGGGGUCAGCGAAUUAAGUUCAAAUCUUGGCCAUUUGAUCCCCACCUGAGACGAUACCACUCGGUGGAGUAGCUCGAUAAAUAAUCACACGGUGGCCGAGUACGGGGCACCGACAAUUUUGAGCAAAAAGGGUGACUUCCGGGGAGUAAAUUUGUGUUGUUUCUGGUGUAAAGUUAUAGCCUCGUUUAUACCCUUAAACUAAAUCGUUUACUGUCGACCUACAUAUCAAAAGAAAGGAUUUAAUCUCCUCUAAACGAUGAAAUAUAAAUCUUUGAUAUGCAAGCAUUCACUGCGGAGAUAUAGGCGUAAGAAAAACACGUAUCAGCUCUAUUACGAAAUGAAGUCCUUUACGCGGUAAACCAUAACUUAAUUAAUGCAGGGCUGAGAGUCAACAAACUUAGAGGAAAUAUAGUUCAGAUAUCAGACUACAAUAAUAAAAAAUAAAAAAACUGUCAGCUCUUCUUGUUUUUGUUUGCUCACGGUCAACAAAGUUGAAAAAUUCCUAAUUUUCAAGACCAAACCUACAUAGCCCCCUAGACAGUUCCGAGUGCAAUUGGUUGCCCUUAAUUGACAUUUUGCAGGAAUUGUUGUAAGAGCGUAACAAAAUCUACAUUUUGCAGACUUCACCUAUUGGGUGGGUGGGUGAGUGGGCUACCUUUGGUGGUGCGCACUGAUCCGGUAGGAGGGGAACGUCCUGUUGCCGCCCACCCAGUUAGCGCGCGGUAUCGAAAGAGGGCGCCCUCGCAUUACAUUACCGUCAAAAUGGCAGCCAUGGACAUGCCGUCUGUGCGGCUGCAAUGUGAUUUUAGUAAUUUUGAGUAUAGCAAAGCCAUCGAAUGUGGUGUAAAUCCCUCUUAUCUGCGCGAACUAAAUACAGUGCAACUUAAUCGAUGCACAAAAGACAUACGGAGCCAUUUGCAGAAGUGGAAAGUCGCUGCAUAUGAUGUGAAUGUCGAGUGGAAACUGAUCCUCCUGCGAUGUGGUUUGUUCGACGUCGAUGCAUACACUGAUAAGACAAUACGUCCAGCGCAUAGAUACAAGUUAGGGUUGAGUUGGACAUCAUCAAGGAAAUGUUGUCAUCCACUCCAUAAAGGGAAAGGCAAACCAUUCCGUGGUGUGAAUAAAGCAACUAGCCGUGAGAUCAUAGAUGUUUGAUCGAUGGGGUACCAUGAUCACUGUUGGAACAGGUAUCUGUAGAGGUUGUCUAUCUUAGCACAAACAAGCAGUUACGCACCAGACAGCGGAACAAUUACCUAGCGAUGUGCUCUCUAAGGAACAAGAAGAGCAUCAGUGUACAAUCAGUGAUUUCACAUCGCCGGCUGGUGUACCAUCUCUCCAACCCACCGACACAGCGUGCACUUCAGUUCAUGAGCAUACAUCUGAGUCCUCAUCAACUGAUGGAGAUAUUACACAGGAUGUAGGUGCACUUGACUCUUCUU